GGCCCCGGCCCCGGGGUCAGGCGUCCGCGACCAGCACGGCUACUAAAUACAUCCCUUUCCCUCUGAGUGACAUUUCUCUGAGAGUGAGGAAUAUCAGACCUGGACAUGCAACUUCUGUCCUAUUUCUUGUCUAUUUAUAAAAGUCUUGUACUGUGUUCACGUCUUUCUCCUGCUG